AUUGAACGCUGGCGGCAUGCUUUACACAUGCAAGUCGAACGGCAGCGCGGGCUUCGGCCUGGCGGCGAGUGGCGAACGGGUGAGUAAUGCAUCGGAACGUGCCCAGUAGUGGGGGAUAGCGCGGCGAAAGCCGGAUUAAUACCGCAUACGACCUGAGGGUGAAAGCGGGGGACCGUAAGGCCUCGCGCUAUUAGAGCGGCCGAUGUCGGAUUAGCUAGUUGGUGGGGUAAAGGCUUACCAAGGCGACGAUCCGUAGCUGGUCUGAGAGGACGACCAGCCACACUGGGACUGAGACACGGCCCAGACUCCUACGGGAGGCAGCAGUGGGGAAUUUUGGACAAUGGGGGCAACCCUGAUCCAGCCAUGCCGCGUGCGGGAAGAAGGCCUUCGGGUUGUAAACCGCUUUUGUUCGGGAAGAAAUCCUCUGGGCUAAUACCCCGGGGGGAUGACGGUACCGGAAGAAUAAGCACCGGCUAACUACGUG
rnacentral:rRNA from 1 species